rnacentral:rRNA from 1 species
GACGAACGCUGGCGGCGUGCUUAACACAUGCAAGUCGAACGGAAAGGCCCUGCUUUUGUGGGGUGCUCGAGUGGCGAUCGGGUGCGUAACACGUGAGUAACCUGCCCUUGACUUUGGUAUAACUUCAGGAAACUGGGGCUAAUACCGUAUAGCAGCUCCCGCUCCAUUGUGGGGGUUGGAUCGUCUAGGCGGGUGGGGAUGGACGCGCGGCUUAUCAGCUUGUUGGUUGGGUAGUGGAUGACCCAGGCUGUGGCGGGUAGCCAGCCCGAGAGGGUGACCGGGCACAUUGGGACUAAGAUACGGACCAGUCUCCUACGGUAGGCAGCAGUGGCGAAUAUUGCACAAUGGGCGGAAGCCUGAUGCAGCAACGCCGCGUGCGGGAUGACGGCCUUCGGGUUGUAAACCGCUUUCGCCUGUGACGAAGCGUGAGUGACGGUAAUGGGUAAAGAAGCACCGGCUAACUACGUG